UACGUAGGGUGCGAGCGUUAAUCGGAAUUACUGGGCGUAAAGCGUGCGUAGGCGGUUCCUCAAGUCCGUUGUGAAAGCCCCGGGCUCAACCUGGGAAUGGCAGUGGAAACUAGGGGACUGGAAUCUGGCAGAGGGGGGUGGAAUGCCGCGUGUAGCAGUGAAAUGCGUAGAGAUGCGGCGGAACACCGAUGGCGAAGGCGAGUCCCUGGACAACUCCUGACACUGAUGCACGAAAGCUAGGGGAGCAAACAGG
rnacentral:rRNA from 1 species